CCUACGGGGGGCAGCAGUGAGGAAUAUUGGUCAAUGGACGAGAGUCUGAACCAGCCAAGUAGCGUGAAGGAUGACUGCCCUAUGGGUUGUAAACUUCUUUUAUAAAGGAAUAAAACGAGGCACGUGUGCCUUUUUGUAUGUACUUUAUGAAUAAGGAUCGGCUAACUCCGUGCCAGCAGCCGCGGUAAUACGGAGGAUCCGAGCGUUAUCCGGAUUUAUUGGGUUUAAAGGGAGCGUAGAUGGGUUGUUAAGUCAGUUGUGAAAGUUUGCGGCUCAACCGUAAAAUUGCAAUUGAUACUGGCAGUCUUGAGUACAGUUGAGGUGAGCGGAAUUCGUGGUGUAGCGGUGAAAUGCUUAGAUAUCACGAAGAACCCCGAUUGCGAAGGCAGCUUACUAAACUGUGACUGACAUUGAUGCUCGAAAGUGUGGGUAUCAAACAGGAUUAGAUACCCGAGUAGUC
rnacentral:rRNA from 1 species